GUACGGGAGGCAGCAGUGAGGAAUCUUGGACAAUGGGGGCAACCCUGAUCCAGCGAUGCCGCGUGGGUGAAGAAGGCCUUCGGGUUGUAAAGCCCUUUAGGCUGGGACGAAGGGUAUGGGACGAAUAAUCCUGUACUUUGACGGUACCAGCAGAAUAAGCACCGGCAAACUCUGUGCCAGCAGCCGCGGUAAUACAGAGGGUGCAAGCGUUAAUCGGAUUUACUGGGCGUAAAGGGCGCGUAGGCGGUGAUGUGAGUGUGAUGUGAAAGCCCCGGGCUUAACCUGGGAAGUGCAUCGCAAACGACAUGACUGGAGUAGAUGAGAGGGUGGCGGAAUUUCCGGUGUAGCGGUGAAAUGCGUAGAGAUCGGAAGGAACGUCAAUGGCGAAGGCAGCCACCUGGCAUCAUACUGACGCUGAGGCGCGAAAGCGUGGGGAGCGAACAGGAUUAGAUACCCCUGUAGUCC
rnacentral:rRNA from 1 species